rnacentral:lncRNA from 1 species
GAUUGGCAGCUGACCUGGGUCGUGAGAGGGGACCGUGUCUUUCAGAAACCCUUGGGUCAUUGAUCUUUAUGUAUAUAUGGAGGGGAUUCUCUCGACGUUACUUUAGGAAGUCUCGGCAGUCACGAUAAACGGCUUUCGAUCCUUCCAACCCUUCUGCAAGGAGGUGUCUUCCUCCACUUCUCCUGCUUCGGGUCAAAGCAGCUGGGUUGAGAGAAGUCUUAUGUUGUUCAAUGUUUUGAUGAUUAGCUCACUCCUCAUCAGAGAUACCCAUGUCGAAGUAAGGUGACCCUCCGUGUUGGGGGGCACCUAGAUGAUGGUUGAUGUUCACAGGGGCAACAAGCUCACGUGUUUGAGUACGCAUAGUUUCGUGGAGCGUCUCAUACUGCUCCUGGAUGACCUCAUUCUUCAUUGCUAUCUUGUUGUUUUGAGCUUCUAGGUCAUCGACUUUAGCUUGAAGAGCAACCCUCUUUCCUUCCUUCUUUCGUUGCUUCGCACUAGGUGCAAGAGGGGUGUCAUUCUGUGUGCUGUGGCUUCCUUUGCUCCCCAUGUUGGAGAGGGAUGCCUGGUCAAA